UACGUAGGGUGCAAGCGUUGUCCGGAAUUACUGGGCGGAAAGAGCUCGUAGGUGGUUUGUCGCGUUGUUCGUGAAAACUCACAGCUCAACUGUGGGCGUGCGGGCGAUACGGGCAGACUUGAGUACUGCAGGGGAGACUGGAAUUCCUGGUGUAGCGGUGAAAUGCGUAGAUAUCAGGAGGAACACCGGUGGCGAAGGCGGCUCUCUGGACCACAACUGACGCUGAGGCGCGAAAGCUAGGGGAGCAAACAGG
rnacentral:rRNA from 1 species